UAAGGAAUAUUGGUCAAUGGGCGGAAGCCUGAACCAGCCAUGCCGCGUGCAGGAAGACGGCCCUACGGGUUGUAAACUGCUUUUAUACCGGAAUAAACCUUUUCACGUGUGAGAAGCUGAAUGUACGGUAAGAAUAAGGAUCGGCUAACUCCGUGCCAGCAGCCGCGGUAAUACGGAGGAUCCAAGCGUUAUCCGGAUUUAUUGGGUUUAAAGGGUGCGUAGGUGGCUUAUUAAGUCAGGGGUGAAAGACGGCAGCUUAACUGUCGCAGUGCCCUUGAUACUGAUGAGCUUGAAUAUACUAGAGGUAGGCGGAAUGUGACAAGUAGCGGUGAAAUGCAUAGAUAUGUCACAGAACACCGAUUGCGAAGGCAGCUUACUAUGGUAUGAUUGACACUGAGGCACGAAAGCGUGGGGAUCAAACA
rnacentral:rRNA from 1 species